CCUCAGUUCACAUUCUCAUGAUGAGGCUCACUGCUCAGCUCCUGGGGCUACUAAUGCUCUGGGUCCCUGGAUCCAGUGGGGAUAUUGUGAUGACCCAGACUCCACUCUCCCUGCCCGUCACCCCUGGAGAGCCGGCCUCCAUCUCCUGCAGGUCUAGUCAGAGCCUCCUGUAUAGUGAUGGAAAAAACUAUCUGUACUGGUACUUGCAGAAGCCAGGCCAGUCUCCACAGCUCUUGAUCUAUUUGGGCUCCAACCGGGCUUCUGGGGUCCCUGACAGGUUCAGUGGCAGUGGGUCAGGCACAGAUUUUACACUGAAAAUCAGCAGGGUGGAGGCUGAGGAUGUUGGGGUUUAUUACUGCAUGCAAGGUAUAGAGCUUCCUCCCACAGUGGUACAGCCUUUAAUAGAAACCUCCCUCCUGAGGUGGCCCAGCUGUCCACAUGUGCCGCUUGUCUAA